CUCCUCUCCGGUUUUCCUGCCGCAGCCCGAGCAGGGCUUUCAUGGCCAGUGAUUUGUCAGUGCUGCAGAUGCGGGACAGUUUGCGCAAUGAGGGGAAGGGCGUGGAAGUUGCUACAGGGAGAGCUGGCUUUGAAUCGCUGAAUCGGCAACCAGGAUCUGUGAAAGUCUUGGGAUGCCUGAGAUAUUAAUUGACAAAUUGAAUCUUCUGCUGCUAUUAUUAAACGAAGUCUUCCCAUGAAAUAAUUCAGCGAUGGAGGAAAAGUGAAGCUGAUUUUAAAAGCCUGAUGCUGAAAAAUGGAGAACCGGAUACUCCACCACACUGUCUUUUGCAGUGAGUCGAGCCGAGCUGUGGAAGCUAAGAAUUAGUAUCUGUAGCAUAAAAUUUGGAGUCCAUCAGCAAAGAAAGUCUCUGCUUUCUGAAAGGGAGAUCAAUUUUGACAUCUUGAUUAUAAGUCAGAGGAAAGGUUGGUGCUGGACUAGUGAUCUUUGAAGAUUAUUAUUACAUUGCCAUUAUUCAUUAAUGACUACAAAAGAAACAAGCUCUAAAUGGUAAUGAUAAAUUAUAAUCACAGACCUAUGAAGCUGCUAUUAUAUCCCAUUUAUUCUGAAAGAGUUUUUUACUAUUAAUAACAAAAAAAUGGAGUAUUAAUAAGGCUUUGGCCUAGCAUGCCAUGUAUUGCUAUGUAAACACUGCCAAAGAAAAAAAAUCUAGAAAAAU